rnacentral:rRNA from 1 species
GUGACAGCCGCCGCGGUAAUACGUAGGGGGCGAGCGUUACCCGGAAUCACUGGGCGUAAAGGGAGCGUAGGUGGCCUAACAUGUCAACUGUGAAAACCCGGAGCUCAACUCCGGACUUGCAGUUGAAACUGGUAGGCUUGAGGACGGUAGAGGAAGACGGAACUGCCAGUGUAGGGGUAAAAUCCUUAGAUAUUGGCAGGAACGCCGGUGACGAAGGUGGUUUUCUGGGCCGGUUCUGACACUGAUGCUCGAAAGCCAGGGGAGCGAACGGGAUUAGAUACCCCGGUAGUCCUGGCCCUAAACGAUGUUCACUAGGUGUGGGGAGCGGAAAGCCCUCCGUGCUAAAGCUAACGCGAUAAGUGAACCGCCUGGGGAGUACGCCCGCAAGGGUGAAACUCAAAGGAAUUGGCGGGGACCCGCACAAGCGGUGGAGCGUGUGGUUUAAUUCGAUGCUAAGCGAAGGACCUUACCAAGGUUUGACAUGCUAAUGGUAGUGAAUUGAAAGAGGAACGACCACACUAUGUGUGGAGUUAGCACAGGUGGUGCACGGCCGUCGUCAGCUCGUGUCGUGAGGUGUUGGGUUAAGUCCCGCAACGAGCGCAACCCCUGCUCUUAGUUACCAGCGGUAAGGCCGGGUACUCUAGGAGGACCGCCGCCGACGAGGCGGAGGAAGGGGGGGAUGAAGUCAGGUAUCGUGCCCCUUAUAUCUUGGGCGACACACGCGCUACAAUGGGUUGGACAGAAGGGACCAAGACAGCGAUGUGGAGGAAAUCCUCAAACCAACCCCCAGUUCAGAUUGCAGGCUGCAACCCGCCUGCAUGAAGCCGGAAUCGCUAGUAAUCGCAGAUCAGCCAAGCUGCGGUGAAUACGUUCCCGGGUCUUGUACACACCGCCCGUCAAGCCACCCGAGUUGGUAACACCUGAAGAUGAGUAUCCUAACCGAAAGGAGGGAGCUUGUUUAGGGUGGGAUUGGCAAGGGGGGCUAAGUCGUAACAAGGUAGCC